rnacentral:rRNA from 1 species
AAUUCGAGACAGGUGGUGGCAUGGUUGUCGUCAGGCUCGUGUCGUGAGAUGUUGGUUAAGUCCGCAACGAGCGCAACCUUGUCGUUUAGUUGCAAACAGGUCAAGCUGUGCACUCUAGACAGACUGCCGUGGACAACACGGAGGAAGGUGGGGGAUGACGUCAAAUCAUCAUGCCCUUAUGAUCUGGGCUACACACGUGCUACAAUGGCCGGUACAACGGGCAGCGAAGGAGCGAUCCGGAGCGAAUCCUAAAAAGCCGGUCCCAGUUCGGAUUGCAGGCUGAAACUCGCCUACAUGAAGUUGGAGUUGCUAGUAAUCGCGAAUCAGAAUGUCGCGGUGAAUGCGUUCCCGGGUCUU